rnacentral:tRNA from 2 species
CGGGGCGUAGCGCAGUCUGGAUAGCGCGCUUCCAUGGGGUGGAAGAGGUCGCUGGUUCGAAUCCAGUCGCCCCGACCA